AGUGAACGCUGGCGGUAGGCCUAACACAUGCAAGUCGAACGGCAGCACAGUAAGAGCUUGCUCUUACGGGUGGCGAGUGGCGGACGGGUGAGGAAUACAUCGGAAUCUACUUUUUCGUGGGGGAUAACGUAGGGAAACUUACCCUAAUACCGCAUACGACCUACGGGUGAAAGCAGGGGAUCUUCGGACCUUGCGCGUUUGAAUGAGCCGAUGUCGGAUUAGCUAGUUGGCGGGGUAAAGGCCCACCAAGGCGACGAUCCGUAGCUGGUCUGAGAGGAUGAUCAGCCACACUGGAACUGAGACACGGUCCAGACUCCUACGGGAGGCAGCAGUGGGGAAUAUUGGACAAUGGGCGCAAGCCUGAUCCAGCCAUACCGCGCGGGUGAAGAAGGCCUUCGGGUUGUAAAGCCCUUUUGUUGGGAAAGAAAAGCAGCAGGUUAAUACCCCGCUGUUCUGACGGUACCCAAAGAAUAAGCACCGGCUAACUUCGUG
rnacentral:rRNA from 1 species